CUCUAAUCGAUUUGACUCUCCAAGAGAUGGCUGGGUUUUUCAAAGCAGAGAAAUGAUGACCUGCAGUCUUAAAGAGCUGUUGAUUGCACCUGGGGCUCCCGUGGCCGGCGCCCAUCGAGCAGCCCAUCCUGGCUGUUCCCUUGUUCAGCUGAUUUUCUUUUUUAUCUUGACAUUUGCUAACCGCUUGGUUUUUAUUUUCCGGGAAGAGAGGAUUAUUGGCAACUGGCACCACCCCCAUGUCUGGAGGAGGGACGUUUCUAGGAUGACCCCCAGAGUGGAGAAAUAGCCGAGGUUGCAUGGGCUUGAUCCACAAUGACUCAGCUUUCAGCCAUCGCAAUUGUGCUAUGCUCAGCUGUCAAGUGUGUUUUAAAUCUCCUACUACAUUUUUUUUAAAGUUUUUCUGCCAUCCUUUGUACUCCUUUUUAAAAACUUAUCCAGGAAGUGGUAUGAAAUCUCCAGUACUUCUCGGCACACACAGAUGCGUCUUUUUCUGUUUAUUGUUUUCCCUCUGAGAGUUGUAGUGUUCAGUUGGUUACACCAAGAGAAGUACUUGGCUGGGACUGUUAAAAAAAGUGUCACAAAGCAGCACCAAGGAGAAAACAACACUGUUUUCUGAAUGUUCGUGCUUGGAAUUUCUUUACUACAGGGAAAAUGAGAUGGGGGAGGGCCCUUCUUAUCUAUUUUCAGACAGACAUCUCACAAAUGCAUAAAAAAUAUAAUCCUUUUAGUUCCA
rnacentral:lncRNA from 10 species